rnacentral:tRNA from 1 species
GCCUGAGUGGCUCAGUCGGUUGAGCGUCCGACUUCGGCUCUGGUCAUGAUCCGGCAGUUCGUGAGUUCGAGCCCCGCAUCGGGCU